rnacentral:lncRNA from 1 species
GCAGGAGUUCGGAAGGAGGCCGCUUGCUGUAGAAGUUCGGACGAACACCGAUUGCCGUGGAACCCGUCCGUUGUAGAAGUUUAUCUGGGAUCCAUCCGCUGUAGAAGUUCAGAUGAAGUCCGGCUCUUGUAGGAGCUCGGAUGAAAUUCGAAAGGUGGUCAACCACCGUAGAAACUUGGAUGGAGUCUGAUUACUGUAGAAGUCCUGCUGCUGGAGAAGCUCGGUCAUUGACGA